rnacentral:rRNA from 1 species
CAGUCGCCGCGGUAAUACAGAGGGUGCGAGCGUUAAUCGGAUUUACUGGGCGUAAAGCGUGCGUAGGCGGCUUCUUAAGUCGGAUGUGAAAUCCCUGAGCUUAACUUAGGAAUUGCAUUCGAUACUGGGAAGCUAGAGUAUGGGAGAGGAUGGUAGAAUUCCAGGUGUAGCGGUGAAAUGCGUAGAGAUCUGGAGGAAUACCGAUGGCGAAGGCAGCCAUCUGGCCUAAUACUGACGCUGAGGUACGAAAGUAUGGGGAGCAAACAGGAUUAGAUACCCCAGUAGUCCCUGUCUCUUAUAC